rnacentral:rRNA from 1 species
CAAUAGCGUAUAUUUAAGUUGCUGCAGUUAAAAAGCUCGUAGUUGGAUUUCGGAUGGGAUUUGCCGGUCCGCCGUUUCGGUGUGCACUGGCCAGUCCCAUCUUGUUGUCGGGGACUAGCUCCUGGGCUUCACUGUCCGGGACUAGGAGCUGACGAGGUUACUUUGAGUAAAUUAGAGUGUUCAAAGCAAGCCUACGCUCUGAAUACAUUAGCAUGGAAUAACAUGAUAGGACUCUGGCUUAUCUUGUUGGUCUGUGAGACCAGAGUAAUGAUUAAGAGGGACAGUCGGGGGCAUUCGUAUUUCAUUGUCAGAGGUGAAAUUCUUGGAUUUAUGAAAGACGAACUUCUGCGAANGNAUUUGUNAAGGAUGUUUNCAUUA